rnacentral:rRNA from 1 species
CCUACGGGUGGCAGCAGUGGGGGAUAUUGCACAAUGGGGGGAACCCUGAUGCAGCGACGCCGCGUGGGCGAUGGAGUGCUUCGGCAUGUAAAGCCCUAUCAGCAGGGAAGAAAAUGACGGUUCCUGACUUAGAAGGCCCGGCCAAACACGUGCCCGCAGGCGCGGUAAUACGUAGGGGGCCAGCGUUAUCCGGAUUUACGGGGUGGAAAGGGAGCGUAGGCGGCCUGGCAAGCCUGAUGUGAAAGGCCGGGGUCCAACCCCGGGGCUGCAUUGGGAACUGCCAGGCUGGAGUGCCGGAGAGGUAGGCGGAAUUCCUAGGGUAGCGGUGAAAUGCGUAGAUAUUAGGAGGAACACCAGUGGCGAAGGCGGCCUACUGGACGGUAACUGACGCUGAGGCUCGAAAGCGUGGGGAGCAAACAGGAUUAGAUACCCGGGUAGUC